UGAGGAAUAUUGGUCAAUGGGCGAAAGCCUGAAGCAGCAACGCCGCGUGGAGGAUGACACUUUUCGGAGCGUAAACUCCUUUUGUUGGGGAAGAAAUUUGACGGUACCCAACGAAUAAGCACCGGCUAACUCCGUGCCAGCAGCCGCGGUAAUACGGAAGGUCCGGGCGUUAUCCGGAUUUAUUGGGUUUAAAGGGAGCGUAGGCCGGAGAUUAAGCGUGUUGUGAAAUGUAGAUGCUCAACAUCUGCACUGCAGCGCGAACUGGUUUCCUUGAGUACGCACAAAGUGGGCGGAAUUCGUGGUGUAGCGGUGAAAUGCUUAGAUAUCACGAAGAACUCCGAUUGCGAAGGCAGCUCACUGGAGCGCAACUGGCGCUGAAGCUCGAAAGUGCGGGUAUCGAACAGGAUUAGAUACCCUGGUAGU
rnacentral:rRNA from 1 species